GACAGAGGGGGCAAGCGUUGCUCGGAAUUACUGGGCGUAAAGGGCGCGUAGGCGGGAUGGCAAGUCGGUCGUGAAAUCCCUCGGCUCAACCGAGGAACGUCGAUCGAUACUGCUGUUCUUGAGGAUUGCAGAGGAGACUGGAAUUCCCGGUGUAGCGGUGAAAUGUGUAGAGAUCGGGGAGGAACACCGGUGGCGAAGGCG
rnacentral:rRNA from 1 species